UACGUAGGGGGCGAGCGUUGUCCGGAUUUAUUGGGCGUAAAGAGCGUGUAGGCGGCCAGGUAGGUCUGCUGUGAAAACUCGAGGCUCAACCCCGAGACGUCGGCGGAAACCAUCUGGCUAGAGUCCGGAAGAGGAGAGUGGAAUUCCUGGUGUAGCGGUGAAAUGCGCAGAUAUCAGGAAGAACACCCGUGGCGAAGGCGGCUCUCUGGGACGGUACUGACGCUGAGACGCGAAAGCGUGGGGAGCGAACAGG
rnacentral:rRNA from 1 species